UUAGCAUUGUUUAUCCUAUAAUCUCACUAUUCCAAAUUCCAAUUUGAUAAAGUAUUGUUGCAAUAGAACCAAAUACUUUUGUCAUUGACCUUUCCAAUGCAGACCUGCAAAAAAGUUGGUCUUUGGCUGCAUCCACACCCUUCUGGUCUUAUCAUCAAACAACUCUUCUCUCUCUCUCUCUCUCUCUCUCUAUCUCUCUCUCUCUCUCUCUCUCUCUCUCUCUCUCUCUCUCUCCACUACAACUUUUGUUUCUCUUUUGUCAUUUGCUUGUACUCUCUCAACCGCUUCUACUCUCUCAACCGCGGUUGUAUUCUCUUCAGCAGUUUCUUCUCCUUUCUACUCUCAAAAGGAAUGUUUUCUUUGUUGAUUUUACCUAGAUCCAUAUUAUUCCGAGUUUGAUUUAUUCUUUCCACUCUAUCACUUUUUAUUGCAAAUUAGGUUUUUUGAGUAGCUAUGGAAAUGAAGAAGGUGAACAGUUGAAGAGAUGAACCACGGGUUAGAGAUCGAAGAAAUGGAGGUUCUGGCGAGAUGAUAUUUAGAGUUUAUCCCUUAUUUUGUAGAUUUGCUUAUUCAGAUCCAGUUUUUUAUUAUGAGAUAUACUUGCAUCUGGUACUGUAUUUCGUGAGACAUAACUGUUUGGCUUGUGGUCAUAACAAAGAAUAAAAAUAAUGAUGGAUCUGAAUCGCAAUCGACAAAAUCAAAACGCUGAACAAUGUUGGGUGUUUAACCCUAUCAUAGAUACCUCUUCCAGUGGUCCCAGAUCUCAUCGAGAUAAAAUUCUAGAGAAAAGGAGUUUGGAAGCAAAGAUGGCCAAGUUAAAUAGUUUGAUGAUAGAUGGAAUUACUAAUAAGGAUCCUAUUGGAGCAAAUGACUCAGUAAGUUACUUUUUGUUGUUGAUAUUCAUUUGUUUUUUUCCUUCUUCCUGUUGGUGAAUUCAAGAAAUAUAUGCUUAGUGUUUUUUCUUUCUGCUUUUCUGUAAUUUUAGACAUGUUUUUGUUAACUAACAAGACUCUUAUUUCAGCUUUUUUUUCUUUCCGAUUGUUUGAUAUUUGUAAAUGUUUUUUCAUUGUUCAUCUAUUGAGAGAUAUGGUUUCUGGUAUUAUUUUUUCAUAUUUGGUUUCAUGUUUCGCAAGUGAGCAAUGUAUAGUUUCAUGAUCUUGGAAUUGAACAACGGUUAACUAUGCGUUUAGCUUUCGACGAUAUCUUUUCAGGUUGUAGUCGGCGAAAGACUACAAACUUUGUUAUUAUUGCAAUUUUAAUGGUGUUUUCUUGGAUUGUUGAGAGAAACCAUUUCAAGUAUGGCUACAGAGAGCUUACGCAGUAAAACCAAAGAUUACUUUUAAAAGAUAUCUGUUUGGUUUUCCAGAUUUGGUUUCCUACUUAUUACAUGAUCAUAGGGCUCUGUUACUAAAUUUCAAUCUGGUUAUUGGUUUUACUCUGCAUUUUACAGUGACUCAACUAGAAUAGUUAUGUGCAUGCAGAUGGUUCUUAGUGGUAAAGUGCAAUGUUGUAAACAAAUAGUUGCGCUUUCUAGCGAUGAGGGGAAGGUGAUCGUACUAACAAAAAGCAGUUUAUAAAUUAUAAUCCUUUUCAUUUUGUUUUCAACUCCAUAACAGCUGCAGUUUCAUGUAUAAUUGAACUCCAAUACAGUCACAUUCUUUGUACACAGUAAGUUAUAUGGUGCUUAAUUCUGCAGCUUCUGAUCUCACAUUUAUGGCUUUAUAUGUUCUGGUGAGUCCUAAAGUUGAACAACAUAUAAGCGAUAUCAAA